rnacentral:rRNA from 1 species
UACGGAGGGAGCUAGCGUUGUUCGGAAUUACUGGGCGUAAAGCGCACGUAGGCGGCUACUCAAGUCAGAGGUGAAAAGCCCAGGGCUCAACCCUGGAACUGCCUUUGAAACUAGGUAGCUAGAAUCUUGGAGAGGUCAGUGGAAUUCCGAGUGUAGAGGUGAAAUUCGUAGAUAUUCGGAAGAACACCAGUGGCGAAGGCGACUGACUGGACAAGUAUUGACGCUGAGGUGCGAAAGCGUGGGGGAGCAAACAGGG